CAGCCAUAGGAUUGAAAACACUCCAAUCAGACUCGUGGGUAGGCCGAGCCCUGAAAGAGAAUAUAAGGCAGGGCAGGCACCAGCGUGGGACUCAGAGACUCUCAGACUCUGAUGGAUUCUGUUCCUGGUCUCUGAGGAGAGACUCAGACUCUUGGACACACAGACUGACCUCUGAAGAAAAAGAAACAUCUAGCAGCUGACCUCUGAGGAAAGAAGAGAAGCUGAAAAGCCUUACAGAGGAGCUAAACAGCUUCACAGAAGCUGGGCCGGCCACACCUGCCUUGGACCUGCCUCUGACAUCGCCUGAAAGGGGCACUAAAGACUCCAGCAAAUAGCUGUGUGUUGUUUGUGUAGGCCAACACCUCACAGAAAGCUGUGAUCUUGGUGUAUCUUACACCACCUGCACGACUGGCCAGUGCUGCCCAGCACUGUCUAGGUCAUCUCUGAGAGCUGUUAACUGCUCCUGACCAUCCAGCACUUCCUCCUGAUGCUGCUGCUUCCGUUGCUGUCUGGUCCACCAUCCAGUGCUUUCCAUCCUGAUCUCCAGACUGUGGCUGGGGCUGCUGCAGCAUCAACACUGUGGCCCCACCUGUGAUCACCUCCAGCUUCAGCGAGUGGGUCCUGGCCUACUGCUGCCGGCUGCUAUAAGCACCAGCCCCUCAUUGGCAGGACAGUGACAUCUUGGAUGAGCACCCUUUUGUUUGGGACUUCUGGACACUCUGGACAUUAACUGAGGCCCACAGAACCCUUGGGGCUUCUUCCUCUCCUCCCCUGAUAAUGCUCAUUUCAAAAGCAACAGCCAAAGCAGAUGCAAGGGAGAAGUGCUGGUGCUCAUAAAUUUAAGGAGCUAAAAUAGCAACAGCUGUGGCAAUUGCAGGAUUUCAGCAGGUAAUCAAGACUGGCUGGUGUGUGUGGAUUUGACUACACUCUGAGGUGACAGAGCCAGGGAGAACCACCAGGUGCUGGGAGCACUAGGAACCAUGUGGAAGUGGAGGUGGGUACUGCUGGGUGCAAACUGCAGUCCCAGGAACUGGGCAUCCUGAAGAAACUUCAUCAUAUGUUGCCCUGGUCAUCUCCACAAGAAGUAGGUGCUUUUCUAAAUGGGGGAGUCUUUCUAAAUGGGGGAGUGUCCAUGUGAGGGAGAGAGUGGCAGGGAAUGUCCUCAAGAGAAAAGUGAUUCUGAUAUAGCUUUCUGGGAGGUGAUGAAAAUUCUCCUCAUAGACUAGAUGUUUUAAGCAUAGUUUGUUUUAAGAGUUAGGAUGUAAAUGAGCUUGGCGUAUAGUCUGUU